UAAUACGUAGGGGGCAAGCGUUGUCCGGAAUUAUUGGGCGUAAAGCGCGCGCAGGCGGCUAUUUAAGUCUGGUGUUUAAACCUUGGGCUCAACCUGGGGUCGCACUGGAAACUGGGUGGCUUGAGUACAGAAGAGGAAAGUGGAAUUCCACGUGUAGCGGUGAAAUGCGUAGAUAUGUGGAGGAACACCAGCGGCGAAGGCGACUUUCUGGGCUGUAACUGACGCUGAGGCGCGAAAGCGUGGGGAGCAAACAGG
rnacentral:rRNA from 1 species